CAAGCCAAAGACGGGUAGCGGGUGUGAGAGCAUGACCCGCCGCAUCGGAACUGAGACACUGUCCGGACUCCUACGGGAGGCUGCAGUAACGAAUCUUCCGCAAUGCGCGAAAGCGUGACGGAGCAAUGCCGCGUGCAGGAUGAAGCUCCUCGGAGUGUAAACUGCUGUCAGAGUUCAGCAACACAAAUGAGCAGACUCCAAGGAAGGACCGGCUAAGUUCGGUGCCAGCAGCCGCGGUAAUACCGAACGGUCCGAGCGUUGCGCGGAAUCACUGGGCUUACAGCGUACGGUAGGCGGACGCGCAGGCGUUUUGUGAAAGCCCUCGGCUCAACCGAGGAAUUGCUUGACGAACCGCGCGUCUUGAGGCAGUUAGGGGCUGUCGGAACGAUAGGUGGAGUGGUGAAAUGCGUUGAUAUCUAUCGGAACGCCGAAGGAGAAAUCAGGCAGCUGGGCCUGUCCUGACGCUGAGGUACGAAAGCGUGGGUAGCGAACGGGAUUAGAUACCCCGGUAGUCCACGCCGUAAACGAUGUGCACUAGAUCGAGGGGGUUCUGACACCGCUCUUGGUCGAAGCGAAAGUGUUAAGUGCACCGCCUGGGGAGUACGGUCGCAAGGCUAAAACUCAAAGGAAUUGACGGGGGCUCACACAAGCGGUGGAGCAUGUGGCUUAAUUCGAAGCAACGCGAAGAACCUUAUCCUGGGUUUGACAUGCACGGAUUAGCCCGGUGAGAGUCGGGUGACGCUCUUUGAGUGGAACGUGCACAGGUGCUGCUUGGCUGUCGUCAGCUCGUGCUGUGAAGUGUCGGGUUAAGUCCCUUAACGAGCGCAACCCCUGUCGCUAGUUGCCAGCGCGUUAUGGCGGGGACUCUAGCGAGACUGCCGGUGUCAAACCGGAGGAAGGUGGGGAUGACGUCAAGUCCGCAUGGCCUUUAUGCCCAGGGCUGCACACGUGCUACAAUGGCCGGUACAGAACGACGCAAUACCGCAAGGUGGAGCAAAUCGCAAAAGCCGGCCCCAGUUCGGAUUGCAGGCUGCAACUCGCCUGCAUGAAGUUGGAAUCGCUACUAAUCGCGGAUCAGCAAUGCCGCGGUGAUACGUUCCUGAGCAUUGUACACACCGCCCGUCAAGUCAUGGAAGCUGGCAGCACCCGAAGUCGCCGCGAUUCAGCGG
rnacentral:rRNA from 1 species